GAAGAAAUCAUGUCAUGUAUCCUGUGAUGAUGCCAGGCUGUCACACAGCUUCUCUGGAUGUCCCAGCACUGUGCUGCCUCCCAAACUUUAGGUGAAGGAAGUGGUGCCACCAGGCCAGGAAUUCAGCACGUCAGCUCAGUGGCAGCACUAAGCUCCCGUUGUGGAUUCAGCGCCACUCUCAGCCCGAUGAAGUCAUUCAUGAAGAAGUCAGUGGCUCAAAGCAAGGGAUGAAUUCGUGUCAGCCUCAGUGUGACGAUCAUCCCCCAGUGAGGAAAGAAGUAUAACUUCUAGUUCUUAGCCAGCAAAUAUGGAUAGCCGACCCUCCUGGCCAUGAGAAAGGCAUCAGGGCGUCUAUUGGGAGCACUCUGCCAGCACGGGGAUCAGAGCCAUGCUUUGUGUUAUUAAGACAUUCCCACUGCCCUUCCCAAAUUAAAUGGAGAGCUAAGUGACAAAGCCAUUAGGCUCUCUUUCUUCUUUCCGCAUGCAUGAAAUUACAUUUUUAAGCUACAUGUGAUCUCUGGGAGCCUCCGAAGGGGUCAGGCACCAGCACAUCUGGCACGCCGAUAUGUUCAUUCAGGAACAUGAAGUCAUCCUCCAAGUCGCAUUCCUGAGCCCAUAACAUGUAAUUUUCCACAUGUCACCUCGGCGACCUGCACACCGAGCGGAGAUUAAUGUUAAUUUAGUAGAAGCCUGUGCAUAUUUAACAGAACCGAAAGCCUUGCUAAUUGUGUUUUAAUUAAACCAGGAGUGGAAUAUUAUUUGAUAGGAAGGGUCCGUGCUGUUGGAAGGAACACACACCACACUGCCCACUGCACCAUGCCAUAAAUCAGCUCGGUGCCAAAUCCCCCCCAGCAGGAGGGGACACAAACAGCACAGUGACCUGAGGGGCCACCAUUGUACUCCCGACCCAUCCAAGUCCCACUGCAGCUCCUGUGGGAGAAGCAAGGAUGUGCCCCAGGGCACGUGGUGGUAGCUGAUGACUGAUGGCAGCGCUCCAAAGGGGCCGCAGGUCUGAAAUGAGUUUGGUGGUUACCAGUGACAUGCCCCGAGGAUGGCAUAUGAUAAGGUAUGCAGCACGAGUAUUGCGAGGGAUCCCGUCUGAUGAGCACUGGGAGGCACCCAGCCCUAAUCCCUGGGAAAUAAAAGGCCUUCCUGCCUCUGUCCUGACAGACGGAGGGGUCUGUCCUCAUGGGAAGGAGGAGGAGGAGUUCAGGACUCACGGGAUGGGCUGUCUGAGCUAAAAGUGAAGUGCAACAGUUCUCAUUUGUAUAUAAAUAUACACAAAAAUAUAUGUUGUAUAUAUAUAUUGGGAGCGAAGGGGCCUUACUGAAUACAC
ensembl:lncRNA